rnacentral:rRNA from 1 species
UACAGAGGGUGCAAGCGUUGUUCGGAUUGACUGGGCGUAAAGGGCGUGUAGGCGGUCGGCCAAGUCUGAUGUGAAAGCCCGAGGCUCAGCCUCGGAAGUGCGUCGGAAACUAGUCGGCUGGAGCGCGAUAGAGGAGGGUGGAAUUCCUGGUGUAGCGGUGAAAUGCGUAGAUAUCGGGAGGAACACCAGUGGCGAAGGCGACUCUCUGGCCUGUAACUGACACUGAGGCGCGAAAGCGUGGGGAGCGAACAGG